UANACAUGCAGUCGACGAUGACCCGGUGCUUGCACCGGGGAUUAGUGGCGAACGGGUGAGUAACACGUGAGUAACCUGCCCUUAACUCUGGGAUAAGCCUGGGAAACUGGGUCUAAUACCGGAUAUGACUCCUCAUCGCAUGGUGGGGGGUGGAAAGCUUUAUUGUGGUUUUGGAUGGACUCGCGGCCUAUCAGCUUGUUGGUGAGGUAAUGGCUUACCAAGGCGACGACGGGUAGCCGGCCUGAGAGGGUGACCGGCCACACUGGGACUGAGACACGGCCCAGACUCCUACGGGAGGCAGCAGUGGGGAAUAUUGCACAAUGGGCGNAAGCCUGAUGCAGCGACGCCGCGUGAGGGAUGACGGCCUUCGGGUUGUAAACCUCUUUCAGUAGGGAAGAAGCGAAAGUGACGGUACCUGCAGAAGAAGCGCCGGCUAACUACGUGCCAGCAGCCGCGGUAAUACGUAGGGCGCAAGCGUUAUCCGGAAUUAUUGGGCGUAAAGAGCUCGUAGGCGGUUUGUCGCGUCUGCCGUGAAAGUCCGGGGCUCAACUCCGGAUCUGCGGUGGGUACGGGCAGACUAGAGUGAUGUAGGGGAGACUGGAAUUCCUGGUGUAGCGNNAA
rnacentral:rRNA from 1 species